UUUUACUCUUACCGGAGGCAGCAGUGGGGAAUAUUGCACAAUGGGCGCAAGCCUGAUGCAGCGACGCCGCGUGAGGGAUGACGGCCUUCGGGUUGUAAACCUCUUUCAGCAGGGAAGAAGCGAAAGUGACGGUACCUGCAGAAGAAGCGCCGGCUAACUACGUGCCAGCAGCCGCGGUAAUACGUAGGGCGCGAGCGUUGUCCGGAAUUAUUGGGCGUAAAGAGCUCGUAGGCGGCUUGUCGCGUCGGUUGUGAAAGCCCGGGGCUUAACCCCGGGUCUGCAGUCGAUACGGGCAGGCUAGAGUUCGGUAGGGGAGAUCGGAAUUCCUGGUGUAGCGGUGAAAUGCGCAGAUAUCAGGAGGAACCACCGGUGGCGAAGGCGGAUCUCUGGGCCGAUACUGACGCUGAGGAGCGAAAGCGUGGGGAGCGAACAGGAUUAGAUACCCUGGUAGUCCACGCCGUAAACGGUGGGCACUAGGUGUGGGCGACAUUCCACGUCGUCCGUGCCGCAGCUAACGCAUUAAGUGCCCCGCCUGGGGAGUACGGCCGCAAGGCUAAAACUCAAAGGAAUUGACGGGGGCCCGCACAAGCGGCGGAGCAUGUGGCUUAAUUCGACGCAACGCGAAGAACCUUACCAAGGCUUGACAUACACCGGAAAACCCUGAGACAAG
rnacentral:rRNA from 1 species